rnacentral:rRNA from 1 species
CCUACGGGGAGCAGCAGUGAGGAAUAUUGGUCAAUGGACGCAAGUCUGAACCAGCCAUGCCGCGUGCAGGAUGAUGGCUCUAUGAGUUGUCAACUGCUUUUGUACGAGGGUAAACCCCGAUACGUGUAUCGUGUUGAAAGUAUCGUACGAAUAAGGAUCGGCUAACUCCGUGCCAGCAGCCGCGGUAAUACGGAGGAUCCGAGCGUUAUCCGGAUUUAUUGGGUUUAAAGGGUGCGUAGGCGGUUUGAUAAUUUAGAGGUGAAAUGUCGGGGCUCAACCCCGAAACUGCCUCUAAUACUGUUGGACUAGAGAAUAGUUGCGGUAGGCGGAAUGUAUGGUGUAGCGGUGAAAUGCUUAGAGAUCAUACAGAACACCGAUUGCGAAGGCAGCUUACCAAACUAUAUCUGACGUUGAGGCACGAAAGCGUGGGUAGCAAACAGGAUUAGAUACCCCAGUAGUC